UACAUAUUUGUGAGUGCACGUCUGUUGUGUCGCGUAUUAUCGCCGCGCGGAGUAUCACGAAAACUUAUUUCUGUUACAUUUUCGAGUGACAAGUGAUGAAAAUAUCCAGUUUAGUGUUUUGUGUGUGUGUUUGAAUUGAAAAGUUGCCGGUUGAUUGGAGCUUGGCUGCAGAAAAACUUCAGGAAUUCGUCACCAGAACUCCAUUCGAAAAUCAUAUUUCUAAUGGCUACGAAUAAGUAGGAGGGUUGGCGUUCUCUACAAUACUACUUAAGUAAAGAUGGCAACGUCAACGAGCCUGUGGUCGCGGGGGAAGCGCUGCAGGUGAAUGGCGACCACAAUGGCGCGAGCGUGGGCGCGGGCGCUGGUCGCCGCCGCCCUGCUGGUGACCACGCGCGCCUACCUCGUCCUCGUGCCCGACUCUGCACCCCCCGGACACGUCGUCCUAGACGCAGCCGUCUAUAAACUCGGCUCAGAACGAUCCUACACCAUAGACGUCCACCGAACUGCUAACUUCGUCCAUCACGUACUACGAGUCAAUAGGACCUCUGGACUCGUCACCUUAAGAAAAAGACUACGUUGCGAUGGAAUUCUUUACCCUAAUUUAUUUACUUUCUAUGUUGACUCUACCUCAGAACGUAUCCGCGACAUAGAUUACUACAGUCUGCCGAUAAGAGUUCUGGUUACAGGCGAGGACUGUAGUAGACGUCAUAUGGAACUGUACGAUAUAGAUUUCGACAGGGUCUACGAUCAAGAUGAUGCAGCUUUGCAGUAUGAAGAUGAUCACACGAGAGAUAAACGAGAAAUAGCUAUAGCAACUAGAAGCGAGAUUAGAGAGAGUGUAGACUGGCGAUUGUUAGAAGCUGACGAAUUGGUCUCUAGUCAAUACAAUGUUCUGUCCACGGCUCAUCCGUGGUCUAACAUCAUGUUUGAAGAUUUUAAGAAUAGAAGUAGGAGCAAGAGAUCUCAUUCAGCAGUACCUUUCGAUAUGUCGAUUGAUGUGAAAGUAGCUGAAGCUAAGCAAUGGAUAUCGGAAACUUACGCGAGCUUCGCAAUUCCGACGACGGAUCGUUGGAACGGAAUUUGCUUGAAGAAGUCCCAAUACGUGAAUUCCUUAACGGCGUUUCUUCCGCGAACCGUUCAGAAGAUGUGUAAAGUCCAAUUCUUAGAUGUGAGCGAUCCGAGGUUCACUAUUGAGAAUAGCCAAGGAGACUUGGUUGCAAGUGACGACGUGUGUAUACAGGAGCCUAUGUGGAAGGUGUCUGUUCUGUUCACGUUCAAUUGCGAGAAGACAAACAUCAUAGAUUCUGAUCACCGUCUGAAGAUAGUGUACCACCACCAGGAGUUGAAUGACACAGAUAUAGCGAGGAGGGUGAAGAGGGAGCUUCGGAACCAGUCGCCGUACUUUGAACAAGCGCUGUACGUGGCGUCGGUGGCCGAGGAGCAACCACCCGGGGUCGUUGUCACUUCUGUUAGAGCUCGCGACCCAGAAAACAGCCCAGUGACCUACACGAUGUCAAGUCUUCUGGACUCGCGGUCAGCUGGGAUGUUCGCCGUAGACUCCCGGUCCGGCGUGGUCACCACACAGGCUCGCCUUGACCGCGAGAGGCUCGAUGUGCACUACUUCAGAGUCGUAGCCCAGGAUGACACCUUCCCGCCUAGAAGUGGCACUACCACGCUGCAGAUCAACGUCCUGGACUGCAACGACCACUCGCCCGUCUUCGAGAUGCAGCAGUACGAGGCAUCAGUGAGAGAAGGAGCCAGCCCUGGCACCACCAUACUUACUGUCAAAGCCACUGAUCAGGAUGUCGGGAAGAAUGCUGAGGUUGAAUAUUCAAUCGACACAGUUACAGCAGAAACAGUUAACUCCGACGGCAGCAAUGAGUCCAUAGAAGAACAGUCUGACGCGCAGGACGUGUUUAGAGUCGACGGGCGUAGUGGAGCUUUGCUUACCAGGUCACCACUGGACAGGGAGAAAGUUGCGCGGUACACUGUAAUCGUGAAGGCUACUGAUCAGGCUAGCCCGGUAUCUGAUAGACUGUCUAGCAGUGCGACAGUCCACGUCAACGUGUUGGAUGAUAACGACAACUACCCGCAAUUCAGUGAGAAAACCUACACUGUUACUGUCGAUGAAGACAUCAGCGUGGCUGAUAACCCUGUCAUAGCUAGAAUAAAAGCGACAGACGCGGACGUGGGCGCGAACGCGGCGAUCAGAUACGCCAUCAUCGGCGGCAACACGCAGAUGCAGUUUGCUAUAGACAGCCUCAGCGGCGACGUGUCCCUCGUCAAGCCGCUAGAUUACGAGUCUGUGCGCAGCUAUAGGCUCGUCAUCCGAGCACAAGACGGCGGCAGUCCAUCCCGAUCCAACACGACCCAACUGUUGGUAAACGUGAAGGAUAUCAAUGACAACGCUCCUCGCUUCUACACGUCGCUAUUCCAAGAGUCUGUCAGUGAAAAUGUUCCAGUGGGCUUCAGUAUUGUUAGGGUCCAAGCUUACGACGCGGACGAAGGAGUAAACGCAGAAUUGACCUACACAUUGUCGGACAAGGACUAUGGAGGAACCAACGACAUUCCAAUCACUGUCGACUCCAGGUCCGGAUGGGUGUACACCUCUGGCCAGUUAGACAGAGAAGUGCAGGCUAAAUAUCAGUUGCAGGUAACAGCAACAGAUGGCGGCACACCACCGCGGUCAGCGACAGCAUCUGUCGUUGUAGUCGUACAGGACAUCAAUGACAACGACCCAGUGUUUGUACCAGCACAGUAUGACGUGGAACUGGCUGAAGAUGAACCUCCUGGCACGCCCGUAGUCACUGUCACUGCUACUGACGCUGAUGAAGACAACAGGUUGCACUACGAGAUAACAGGCGGUAAUACUCGCGGCCGUUUCUCCAUCACAUCUCAGAACGGUCGAGGACUUAUCACCGUCGCCCAGCCUCUGGAUUUCAAACAGGAACGCCGCUAUGUCCUCACUGUGACCGCUACUGACAGCGGAGGAAGAUCUGACACUGCAAUGGUCCACAUUAACAUUACCGAUGCCAACAACUACGCGCCCGUGUUCGAAAACGCGCCCUAUACUGCUUCUGUUUUCGAAGAUGCGCCAGUAGGCACGACAGUUCUGGUAGUAUCAGCGACAGACAGCGACAUGGGGGUGAAUGCUCAGAUCACGUACACGUUGAGCUCCGAGAUAUCCAACGAAGCCGUGGCUCAUCACGAACAGGAGUUCAGCAUCAACCCACAAACUGGUGCUAUUACCACCAAUAAACUGCUAGAUCGAGAAUCUAUGAGCGGGUACUUAUUAACAGUGACGGCGAGAGACGGCGGCGUGCCAUCUCUCUCGGACACCACAGACGUGGAGAUAUCAGUAGUGGAUGUCAACGACAAUGAACCUGUGUUCAAACAACAGCUGUAUAGCGCUAGCAUCAUGGAAGAUGCUCUAGUUGGCACAUCAGUAAUCCAAGUUAGCGCAACAGACGCAGACGUAGGUCUUAACGGGCGGGUGCAUUAUGAACUAGACCCUAAGGACCGGGAGGAAGGUUCAUUUGUCAUCGACCCGGCGUCGGGAGUCAUCAGAACUAACAAGGCUUUGGACAGAGAGUCCGUAGCUACUUAUGACCUGAAGGCUUUGGCUAUUGACGGGGGUACACCGCCGCAAAGUUCUACUGUGAUAGUCCACAUAAAGAUUGAAGAUAUCAACGACUCGCCACCAGUGUUCGAAAGCGACUGCCUCACAUUCUACAUCCCUGAGAACAGUCCUAUCGGCACCACAGUUGGAGAAAUAUACGCUCACGACCCUGAUGAGGGCGCUAAUGCUGUUGUGCAUUAUUCUAUCAAAGGAGGUGACGAUUCCAACAGCUUUUCACUCGAAACCCGCCAAGGUUCUGACAAAGCAGAACUAGUAACCAUGGUAGACCUUGACUACGAAAGUCCGAGGAAGAAAUACGAGCUGAUCAUCAGAGCUGCUAGCCCACCGUUGUGGAAUGAUGUCAGAGUUGAGAUCUUAGUCACUGAUGUGAACGACAACGCGCCAAUGAUGAAGGAUUUCCAGAUCAUAUUCAAUAACUACAAGGACUGCUUCCCUGUUGGACCAUUUGGAAGAGUACCUGCCUAUGACGCUGAUGUUACUGACAAGCUUCAAUACCGAAUCCUGUCUGGCAACAAUGCAAAUCUAAUCCUUCUGAAUGAGACGACUGGCUCGAUGACAUUGUCGCCUCAGCUCAAUACCAAUGUCCCAAAACUGGCUACCAUGGAGAUUUCUGUGGCAGAUGGCGUAAACGAAGUAAAGGCAAUGAUGCAGCUCUCCGUUCGACUCAUCACAGAAGAUAUGCUGUUCAACUCGAUCACAGUGCGACUUAACGACAUGACUGCCGAGUCCUUCCUGUCUCCGCUACUGAGCUUCUUCAUCGACGGACUAGCCGCUAUUAUACCCUGUCCUAAGGAGAAUGUCUAUGUAUUUAGUGUACAGGACGACACGGACGUAUCGGGCAAUAUUCUCAACGUAUCGUUCUCGGCGCGACGGCCGGACGCAGAAGUUGGCGUUGCAGGCGAUACUUCUCCGUUCUACUCGCCGACGCACUUGCGUGAGCGAGUGUACUUGCAUCGGACUACGCUGGCUAGACUUGCUACUGUACAGGUUCUCCCGUUCGACGACAACAUUUGCGUACACGAGCCAUGUCUCAACUACGAGGAAUGCCUCACUGUCCUCAAGUUCGGGAACGCUUCUGGCUUCAUCAACAGUGACACAGUGCUGUUCCGGCCUAUAUACCCUGUUACUACCUUCACUUGCCAGUGUCCGCAUGGGUUUACAGGUUCGAGAGAGCACUACAUGUGCGACACCGAGGUAGAUCUGUGCUACUCCUCGCCGUGCAUCAACAACGGCACCUGUCUGCGUCGUGAGGGCGGGUACACUUGCGCUUGCGCAGCUGGAUUCACUGGAGUGAAUUGCGAAACGAUUCUAACAAAAGCAACAUGCGACAUCAACGGAGAUGGGUCUAUAUGCCGAAGCGGCUCCCAAUGCGUGGCCAGGAAGGAAGGAGGCAUCCUGUGUCAGGGAUGCACUAUUGACGCGGAGUACACCACUGCUAUGUGCGAACUGAGGGCCAGGAGCUUCCCUGUAUCUUCCUUUCUCACGUUUCCUGGCCUGAAGAGACGACAUCGGUUCCAUUUGAAGAUAAAAUUCGCAACACAAACAACAUCAGGUCUUCUUCUGUACAACGGCCGCUAUAACGAACGUCACGAUUUCGUCGCGCUAGAGGUCGUCAACUCCGGCGCAGGCAAAGACAGUGGUCCAGGGUUGAGGUUUACGUUUGGACUGGGAGGAGCCAAGACUGAAGUCACAGUCGCUGGGAAAGUCGCAGAUGGGAACUGGCAUACUGUGGAAGUGGAGUACUUUAAUAGGACCGCAACGAUGAUCCUCGACGAUUGCGACAAAUCGCUGUCUUUGGCUGGCGCAGCUGAGUUUGGUAUCAAAUACGCAUGUGCCAAUUUCAGCAGAAAAGUGUUGCCGCCUCGAUGUGAUAUACCAACUGAAACUUGCCACCGGUUCCUAGACUUAACCGGACCGCUGCAGAUCGGGGGACUGCCCAACAUCCCGAGCAGUUUCCAAGUGAAGAACAAAGACUUUGUCGGCUGCAUCUCUGAUUUCUUCAUUGACCAUAAAUUCAUCGACCUCAACAGUUACGUGGCUGACAAUGGUACGAUUGCGGGGUGUCCAGAGAAACGUUCCCAAUGCGGCUCCGCUCCGUGCUACAAUAACGCGGAGUGUCACGAUCUGUGGGACACGUACUUAUGCGAGUGUGGCGAGGGAUACACUGGCAAGGAUUGUGCUGAAUCGACGGCCCCUCCAUGGCGCUUCAGCGGCGACGGCAUGCUAUCAUUCAAUCCACUGCUUCGCCCCAUACAACUGCCCUGGCUCAACGCGCUCUCCCUGCGCACUCGACAACACGACGCCUUCCUCAUGUCCAUACAAGUUGGGCAGAAUAGUAGCAUAUUUAUAAGCCUUAAAUCCGGCCUCCUCCACUACUCAUACAAUGGCGAAUCAAUGUUCCUGCCAUCAACAACUCUUGCUGACGGAAAGUGGCAUAGGAUCGAGAUCAAGUGGCUUGGCACUGACAUAUCAGUAAACAUAGACUACGGAUUACGAACUGUGCUACUUCCUAUGUUAGCCAAUAAGGUGCAAGGACAAUAUAUUGGAAAGAUUCUGAUUGGUGGGCCUGAUAGCACCGCUGGGUUGUUGGCGUCUGAAGUUGGGUACUUCGAAGGAUGUAUUCAGGAUGUACGAGUAGGAACAGCGCAGUCGUUGUUGAACAGACCUACAGUGAGAGAAAACGUGAGAGAUGGCUGUCAGUCCAGAGCUGAUUGUAUGCUGUCAAUCUGUCCACCAUUUAGUAAAUGCGUGUCAUCCUGGGACCACACGGAGUGUGAGUGCGAGCGCGGUCGGUUCGGACCACACUGCAUCGCCGCGUGCGACUUGACGCCGUGCGGCGCGCAUGCUCAGUGCGUGACGGAAGACAACGCGCGCGGGUACCGGUGCCAGUGCGACGAUGGAUAUUUGCUUACUCCGGACGGCUGCAUAGAGGAAGGCAUAGAGGAGUGCCCGGGCGGGUGGUGGGGCGUGAGCGCGUGCGGCCCGUGCGAUUGUGACGUCAUGCACGGGUAUCAUCCGCACUGCGCGCGCAGCACCGGCCGCUGUCACUGCAAGGAAAACCACUACAAGCCUCCGGGUUCAGACGAGUGCCUCCCCUGCCAAUGCUAUGCGGCGGGAUCAAUCAACAGUUCGUGUGAAGCCACGAGCGGGCAGUGCUACUGUCGCGGCGGCGUCAUCGGCCGCGCCUGCGACUCGUGUGCCAACCUCUACGCUGAGGUCGCUCCCAAUACUGGCUGCGAAGUGGUCUACGAUGGAUGUCCUCGAUCUUAUUCACACGGCGUCUGGUGGCCUCGAACUAAGUUUGGAGUCGAAGCUGUUACCGAAUGUCCAACAGGAACAAGUGGUAAAGGAUCGCGAAUGUGCGAUGAGACGCAAGUAGUUCCCUGGCAAGAACCGGACAUGUUCAAUUGUACAACGUCUACCUUCUAUCAAUUGCGAAAACAGCUAAACAAAAUCGAAACAGGCGAGUUAGCAGUGAACACCUUUGUUGGCGUGCGUCUAGCGGAAGACCUAACGGCUGCCUGCGCGAAUACUCCGCGGUUGUAUGGAGCUGAUGUGCUUGUAGCCGAAGGUAUACUGCUUGAGCUGAUGCAGUAUGAGCUGCGACAGGCUGGUUUGAACCUUACGCAUAGCCAGGACAAGGACUAUGUUCGGAACAUAAUAAAAUCAGCCAAUACGAUACUGGACUCGCAAUACGAGAAAGAAUGGCGUCGCAUUCGCGAGCUUACGGGGCACGGCAUAGAACAUCUGCUACAGAAGUUUGACAAGUACAUUGCGAUCCUUGCUGAGAGCCAACAUGACACAUACACCAGUCCUUUCGAGAUCGUCACUAGCGACUUGGUAAUUGGCGUGGACAUCGUAACGGCAGAAUCGAUAUACGGUUUCGAACCGACCCAGCUAAAUCGCUAUAACAUAGAAUCAUACACAACCGAACGUGUGAUUCUACCCGACACAUCUUCGUUCAUACAUUCGCCGAUACAAGGACCGGGGUACUAUGGUACUGGGAAAGCUAAGAGCAAGAAGCCUUCGAGUCCUACAGUAUCCUUCCCGAAAUACAACAACUAUGUGAAGAAUAAGAAUAAAUUCGAUAAAAAUACGAGAGUGCUUCUGCCGUUGGAUCUACUUGGGAUAACUAAUAAUAAUGUACAAGAGAAUCUAGACUUGAACUACGAGUCCCGCGCAGUGUUCUCCUACCUCCAAUACUCUCGGAACACUUCACAAAUGAUGCCUCUUCGUUACGACGAGUCGGUGACGCGGCGCUGGGGCGUCAACAUCACUGUAGGAUCACCGAUACUGCAAGUUGCUCUGUUUGUACCCGAGUACGUCUGGCUGAGAGAAGCAAAAGAAACCACUGAAGAUAACUCUUUGGAGAAUAAUAUGGAAGAUAUUGAAGGUAUAACCUACACAAACAAAGGACAACACCACCAGUCUCAAGUAAACAACCACGUCAACCAACAACCCAAACACUGGCCAAACGAAGACGAGAACCACGGCCCAGUGGUCAUACAACCAGCCUUUAAAAAGCAAGAGAAAGUAUUCAACAACCUUCAGGAAAACGACUCUGCAUAUGUAGCUGAGAAAUCAGACAACCAAGAAGGGCCAAAAGUUAUGGCUUUGAUAAUGGAACCAGAAAAGAAUACCACGAAAGAUAAUGGAAAGAAGAAGUUGGUAUAUAAAAGUAUGGGAGGAAUUAGGUUGAAGAAACCAAUUAGGCUUCAGAUGUGGUUGGAUAUCGAUAGAGAGAGUUUCGGGUCGAGGACUAACCCGCAGUGUGUGCAUUGGUCUACUUUGAGAGGGUUCGGAGAAUGGUCUCGAGUCGGGUGUCACACCGAAAUAGACUACGAUUGGUCGCCAUAUUCAGACGAACCUUUACUGAUCAACUGUACCUGCAACCAUCUCUCCACCUUUGCUGUUCUCGUCGAUGAAGUUGAUAUUGAGUUCAUCCCCGAACCAUCCCUACUGGAGUCUGUAACCUCCUACACAGCGUUCAGCCUCUCGCUGCCUCUACUCCUAGCGACGUGGGCAGCCCUGUGCCUGAUGCGGGGAGGCGCCGCCACCGUCUCUAACUCCAUACACAAGCAUCUCAUAUUCUGCGUGUUCAUGGCAGAGCUGUUGUACCUUACAGCUCUGAAGGCGCGAUCUUCGCUUGUUCAGAAUGAGUUUGCCUGUAAGUUGAUAGCGAUGUCUCUCCACUACUGGUGGGUGGCGUCCCUAGGCUGGUGCGCGUGCGACGCGUGGCAGUUACGUCGUCUAGUGCGAGAGCUGCGUGACGUCAACCAUGGCGGACUGGCCGCGCAUCUAGCAGCUGCGUACGCUGCGCCGGCGGUCAUGGUCGCGUUAGCAGCUGGACAUCAUCAACAGCAGUACGGGAAUGCACUCUUCUGCUGGGUGAGCUGCCACGAGCCAGUAGUGUGGUGGGUGGUGGUGCCGGCGGCGGUGUACGCGGGCGCGGCGCUGGUGUUCCUGGCGGGAGCCACGCGCGCUGCCUUUACCGUGCGAGAUCACGUCACUGGCUUCGGCAACUUGAGAAUGCUGUUAGCAGUAAGCAUAGUCUGCUUACCCCUGCUCUGCGUGGCGUGGGCCAGUGGUCUUAUCCUGGGGAGUGAGGCAGGCGAGCGAAGGAAUGUACUCAGCUCCGUACUAGCAGGAGCCGUGGCUUUACACGCCACAGCCGCUUCGCUUGGGUACAUCGCCUUCAAUAUUCGCGUCCGGGAUAACUUGAGAAGGACAAUUCUUAGGUGCAUGGGGAAGAAAGUUCCUCUAGUCGACACGUCGGUUAUAGUUAGCAGCAGUGCACAGAAUCUAUCGCAAAUUAAUAGAUCAUCGCUAGCCUAUCACAGCAGCACGGAGCCCGGGCGACAGAUGAGGAACAUAGGGAUAUCAGCUUCAUCUACCACAUCGAGAUCUACUACCAAGACGAGCUCUAGUCCUUACAGCCGCAGCGAUGGUCAACUCCGACACACGAGCACCUCCACGUCUAACUACAACACCAGCGCCAGUGAUAUGCCGGCCUACUUGCGAGGCUUCGACUCUUCAUUGCACACCAAAAAAGAUGACGAAGGCCGCCGUCGCCGCAAGCAAGUUUCAGAAGAAAGAGGCGAGACAGCCGAAGAGGCGACAGAGGCGACGGACAGCGACAGCGAGAGCGCCCGCAGCCUCGACCUCGCCUCCAGCCACUCCUCAGACGACGAUGAGACCAGCACCAGGCGCUCCAGCCACCCGCCCUCUGCUAACCGAGACAGGGGUACAAGCAGCACCGGUGGAAGCUAUCUGCCGAACAUCGCUGAAGGAGCACCUUUGGCCAUGUCGCCGAGGUGGCCGUCGCAUAUACGUGAAGAAUCGAACCGGCCAGAAAUGGGUCGAUGGUCUCAAGAAACGGGUUCAGACACGGAAGGCCUCGCCCCGGGCAUGGCCUCGCCGUCUCCCAAUCCGCUGCCCAACCCCGACCUCACAUCAGACGUGUAUCACAUGAGCCGUCACCGACUCAAACCCUCCAUCUUGGAAAAUGUACACGAUACUUACAUGGCUAGCGUCGAUGCGUCUCGAUUGCCGAUGGAUAACAGAUACGGGGUUAUGGAUGACGAGUUAACAUACGGCGUGCUACAAACGGAAACUGACAAACAAAUACCUUACGAUCCUAACUACCCUAUUUCCCCAUCAAUGUACCGACUUCCGGGCAAUCCGUACGGCUCUAAAACCUAUCUGUCAUCGAGAACCUCAGACUACGGGUACAGCCCUACGAAAUUCCUGAACCCUGAGACCAAUAUCUACGGAUCUCGAGACUUUCGAGACACAGUAACGACAAGAGAACACGACGGAUACCCUCCAAGAGAUUUUAGAGAUUCUGGAAUUGCAACCAUGUUGAAGAACGAUUACCAGAGGAAGAUUGAGAGUCAGUACGGGGACUAUACGGAGAGGAUGUCAGAGGGGUCAGAUAAGCAUCAUCCGCACGAUAAAUAUCAUUUCCCUUAUACGGCGGAGGAGGACCACGUGAGCACGCGUGGUGUCACGCCAUCCCCGCAGGUGCUGUCUGCAGGCGCGGGCGCCGGUGAAGGACAACAACCGAUGGGGGCGCCACUUGCGAGCAUGGGGGAAACCAGCGAAUGGUGGCGGUUGUAUGAGAAACACUCAUUGUAAUCAUCUUUUGCUUUGCUAACCGGUGGUGUUCGCGUCUACCCAUCAAUCAUCAUAGGGAGGAGGAAAUCUACUACUGAAGACGACGCAGAGACGCGAGUGUAAUACUAUAGUACAAGAUUUCCAAUGAAUCUCAAUUAGUUAUCGUUUAACUUUAAUUGUAUUUGUAUAUUAUUCAGUAAUGUUUCAAGUAAUCUUAAGUUAGUCUUAUUUAUUGAAAGACUGUAUACUUACAAUCAGUGUCCACUGCCAUAGUGUAGAUUGUAACAACUUAUUUAUUUGUAAUUUUGUAUUUUUCAUCUAUACUAUGCUUUAAGUAACAAUGAUUUAGGUUUAAAACGAAGCUAUUUGAAUACUCAAUUUAAUAUUUUUGUGUGCAUUUAGAAUGUUUUGAACGGGUUUUGUGCAAAUUAUGAGUAGAUUUUCGUCUAUCUUUAGACACUAUGUUAUCUAAGAAAGAGGUUAUGAAUAAUGCGAGUAGUUUUAUUACGAAAAGACAUCCAAAGUCAGUCAUGUAAAUAGUUAUAAGGUGUAAUCUGUAGAACACAAAUUGUGAAACACAAUUAUUUUUGUAAGGAACCAAAAGUUAUGUUAGAAAAUCUAUGAAUUCAUUUUUAAUGGAUGCAAGUUUGACAACUAUACACAGAAUGUGUUAGCUCACAAAUCUUACAAAAUACAAUCGUAAGGAAAAACCUAAUUGAGAUCAAUUUAAUUAUGGAUUUCGUUUGUAUAUAAAAGGAGAGUGUUGUGUGAAUUUUGAACGUUUUAACGAAGAGUCCACCUAUUUUGUAAAUAAAUAGAUUUUUACACUCAUAGCGUUUAGGUAAUGUAAUAGAAUAAUAAGAAAAAGCUUUAUUUAGGUAUUUCCUAGUGUCAUAUUGCCAUAAAUAUUGUUUAAAAAGUUUGUAGUUCGCAGUGUGCUGUAGGUAGUUGAAAAUUAUAAAUAUGAUGAAGCUAUGUAACUUGAAGACUAACUAAAAGAGAACAUCGUUAAAAGAAGAGCUCUAGAAGUAGGUAAAUAAAUAAAAUCAAUUCUAUAAACGUAAUAUCAACCAUCACAAUAACCACCGGCUCAAUUUUAUAAAAUAAUUAAAUUGCAUAAAUUGGAAUUUUUAGUCUAUGUAAUGUUAGUUUUCAAGGAGUAGUCAACAUUCCAUUAUUUUCUGCUCAGAUUUAAUGCUUUAAGUGGUAGCAAAUAAGUUCCAAAUUGCUUUGGUAGUGUUUAUUAACUUUGUACUGCAAUUUUUGGGUCAUUUCGAUAACUUUUACAACUUUACAUUCCGUUUUGUGAUAAUACUAUUCCAUUUUUAAUCCUUUUACACCAUCACAAUUGUUUAUUAUAUUAGU